CUGAGGAACCAGCAGGACAUCAAGUCCAGCGGCCUUUUCUCACAGAAGUGGAUGCUGGAGCCCAGAGAGGGUGAGAGGCCUGCUGGACGCACAGCUGGCUUUGAUCUCUGCCCCCUGGAAGGUGCACAGCUGGGAUUCCUGGGUGUGCCCUCAUCUUCAUGCCUGGCUUCACAGAUCCAGACUGGGGUGCCAGCUGUCUGCACCCUCCCAAGUCCUCCACACACCCUGUGAGUACUGCAAUAGACUGAAUAUUUGUGUCUCCCAAUCUUGGACUUCCCAGUCUCCAGAAUGCACGUGAGCAGUGGAAGCAGUGUCCAGAGCUGCAACCAGGAGUGGAAAACAGGUGACCUGCUUGAGAUACCAAACGUCCAGCUCUGUGCUGUCUCCUUAGGGACAAAAGGCAGAAGCCAUGCUGACACCAGGGGCUUGUCCCUCAACUCAGUCUAUCACCUCCAGUGUAUGGGCUUGUCUCUAGAAGCUGGGCACUCUCUCUCCCUGGCUCAAGCUUCAUGGGCUCCCAGUUCACACUGACCAUACACUCAGGACAGGAUAAACAAGAACCCCUGGAGGGAGCCAGCGGGGGUGUUUUCUGAGCAUUCUGGGGAAAUAAGACCCAAGUCCCAAGUCUGGCUCUCUUUCUGUUGGGAGAUUUACCUGCCUCGUUAUCCCACACAGGCCAGAAGGCACAGGGGUGAACUUCUUGGUGGUGAUCUCCCAGACAAAUCUGAAUGCAGCAGUGGACAGUCCAUUAGGACUUCAUCCUGCCUUCAAAUACUGACAACAAUACCUCCAUUUUAGGGUCUCAUAGAGACUAGAAAGGCCCUGGAAUGCUUCGACUUGGGAGGGAGGGGGUCCCAGUACAUUACAAAUGAAGAAAUACUAAAAUAGGGUUAUAAAAAUAUAGCACACUUAAAUGUUUACAUUAAACAAAUGAGUCCUUUGAAGAUACACACAAAUCAUGCUGCAAUUAUACUAGUUACAGGAUGACGGGAAGUAUAAUAAUAUUCUUGCACAACAGACUGCAGGCUGUGUGACCUGGUAGUGAGACACACAUUUAAAGCUGUCUGAUGGAGGUCUUCUCUGCCUCCUGCUUGGGAAUAUCAGCCACAGAAUGUGAUGCUUGGCACCUGCCGUGGCUGAUCAUUCUGUCACAUCACACACUGAGUUUGUUUUCAUUUCCACACUUACCUCUAUUUGAAAUCGUCUUGUUUCCUUAUUUGCUGAAUGUCCCCUUUAGAAUAUAAGUGCCGUGAGGCAGGAAUCUUCUCCAUCCACUUUGCCAAGGUCUGGCACAUGGUAAGCACUCUGUGAAUAUUGGCUAAAUGAAGGCACAUGUAUGAUAUACUCAUUUAUGUGAGACCAAGGGCACAGCCCUACACAGUGGGAUUUAGUGGUAAGAGAACUAAAUUCCACAGUGGGUGGUGGUUCCCAGAGAAGCAGCGUGCAGGACGGGAGCAGAGCCCUGGACCACAGCUCCAGUCCCAGCUCAGCUGCUGUCUGCCCAGCAACCUCGGGCCAAUUGCUGCUGUUCCCCAAGAGUUAUUUUCCCUGUUGGAAACAUGAUGGAGAGCCACAUAAGCAGAUCCCUCAGGUUCCCAGAGCAUUUGGGAGAGACUUUACUUCUUGUAGUUUGGAUUUAUGUAGUACUUAAGUUCUAUGUAGUAUAUAUUUUAU